GUCUUGGUAGCUCAGAAGUCAGAUGGCAGAGCACUGUACUAGCGAUCCAGUGGUCGUGGGUUCAAGUCCCACCCAAGACA